UCUUCAAAAGGCAGCAGGCAUGA
rnacentral:piRNA from 1 species